AAGUCGUAACAAGGUUUCCGUAGGUGAACCUGCGGAAGGAUCAUUAACACAUAGUCCAUUUGAUGAUGGUUGAAGUGUAUUCUUUUUUAGAGAAUUUUUUCUCUUUAUUGAUACAUUCUCCAUCAUUCAAACCAAUUAGCAAAUGAGUUGAAGUCCUCAUUAUUAAUUAACUUUAAUAAUUGUGUGGAAUAAAACAAAUGUAAUCACGUUUAAUGAAUUCUUUUUAAAAAAAGAACUUCAUUCGACUAAUGUUUACUCAAAAAAACAAAUAUAACCAAGACAACUUGUAACAGUGGAUACCUUGGUUCCCAG
rnacentral:misc_RNA from 1 species